UAGGUUGGAAGGCCUUUUUCGCUUGAUCACUCGCUGGUGUUUCUCUAUCUCUCGUCACUGUGAUUGAUCGGCAUGGGAAAUUGAGAACAGGGAGGGAUUUAGUUUUUGGGGUUAAAGUUUGGAUUUUUUAGGUUGAUUAGAGAGAAUGGUGGGGUUUUUGUCCGGUAAGAUGAAGAGGAAGAACGUGGAGAUGUUUCGGAUGAGUUCUCUGAAUUCUCUCUCUCUCUUCUUCCACCAGGAAGAUUAGGAGCUGCUGGAUGCUGAUCUCCCUCCAAUCAUGGAAGAAGAUGAGGUUGUAGUUCCUCAAGUGUAUCAGCAACAAUGGGCAGGAGAGCAGCAAAUGAGAAACAUAGCACCAUAAAUCGAUCCAAUAAUCGAGGAUGCACCGAUUAUUCCUCCAAAUGAAGAGAGAGAGCUAUUGUUUUUGUACAAGCCAAUGGAUUUUCCAUUACUGCUUCCCCAAGCUCAUCAAACUCAUGUUUCGCAUUGUGUUCAAACCUGUUCCUUGGUCUAAAGAACAGAGUAUUCUGUCUUCGGAAAUUGAACUUGCAGACAGCGAGGGAGGCGGAAGAUGAUAAGUCCCUGGCUUUGGUACCUUGUGUUGGAUGUGGGUCCUGUGGGUCCCACAUGUUUUACACUCAAACCUUUAGUCCCACAUUGCCUAGUGGAGAGAGUUGCUAAUGAAUUCCUUGCUAUAAAUUCAUGCCUAAACCAUGAACCCAAAACACACUUGCUUGCUUACUUCUUCUCUCAUAUUCUCUUUCUUCCGGGUGUGCUUUCUGCGUGCCUGUAACCGGGUGUGUUUUUUGCGUGCAUGGAAAACCCAAAUAUUUUGUUCUCAUUCUGUGGUUCUUUGCCUGAACCUACGAGAGUUCUUCCUUCCCGGGUUAGUGUAUCCUGCGCUUGGAGUGAGGCCAUAAAAUCCUGCACGAGGGAGGCCAAUUCAGCGUUAGGGCAGUGCUUUCGCACGCCUACCCCAGGCUGGAAAUUUCUAACUGUUAUUUAGAAUUGUUAUAUCACUCUGUUUUUGUAUAUUAUAGUUUUACAGUUCUUGUUUAUAGUAUUUGCAUGCUAUUCAGUAGUAUAUUUCCUACACCUUGGGUGUC